GACGAACGCUGGCGGCGUGCUUAACACAUGCAAGUCGAGCGGUAAGGCCCUUUCGGGGGUACACGAGCGGCGAACGGGUGAGUAACACGUGGGUGACCUGCCCUCAGCUCUGGGAUAAGCCUGGGAAACCGGGUCUAAUACCGGAUAUGACUCCAUGACGCAUGUUGUGGGGUGGAAAGCCUUGUGCGGCUGAGGAUGGGCCCGCGGCCUAUCAGCUUGUUGGUGGGGUGANGGCCUACCAAGGCGACGACGGGUAGCCGGCCUGAGAGGGCGACCGGCCACACUGGGACUGAGACACGGCCCAGACUCCUACAGGAGGCAGCAGUGGGGAAUCUUGCGCAAUGGGCGAAAGCCUGACGCAGCGACGCCGCGUGAGGGAUGACGGCCUCGG
rnacentral:rRNA from 1 species